ACGUACGCUGGCGGCACGCCUAACACAUGCAAGUCGAACGAAGUAGCAAUACUUAGUGGCAGACGGGUGAGUAACAUGUAGGUAUCUGCCCUUUGGCCUGGAAUAACACGAGGAAACUUGUGCUAAUUCCGGAUAAGUCUUUACGGAGAAAGCUUUAUGCACCAUUGGAUGAGCCUGCACUUGAUUAGUUUGUUGGUGGGGUAAUGGCCUACCAAGACUGUGAUCAAUAGCUGAUUUGAGAGGAUGAUCAGCCACAUUGGGACUGAGACACGGCCCAAACUCCUACGGGAGGCAGCAGUGGGGAAUCUUGCACAAUGGAGGAAACUCUGAUGCAGCGAUGCCGCGUGAGUGAAGAAGGCCCUUGGGUUGUAAAGCUCUUUCGUCGGGGAAGAAAAUGACUGUACCCGAAUAAGAAGGUCCGGCUAACUUCGUGCCAGCAGCCGCGGUAAUACGAAGGGACCUAGCGUAGUUCGGAAUUACUGGGCUUAAAGAGUUCGUAGGUGGUUGAAAAAGUUAGUGGUGAAAUCCCAGAGCUUAACUCUGGAACUGCCAUUAAAACUUUUCAGCUAGAGUAUGAUAGAGGAAAGCAGAAUUUCUAGUGUAGAGGUGAAAUUCGUAGAUAUUAGAAAGAAUACCAAUGGCGAAGGCAGCUCUCUGGCAUCAUUACUGA
rnacentral:rRNA from 1 species